rnacentral:rRNA from 1 species
AACGCGAAGAACCUUACCUGGGCUCGAAAUGAAGUGGACCGGAGUAGAAAUAUUCCUUCCCCGCAAGGGGCCGCUUUAUAGGUGCUGCAUGGCUGUCGUCAGCUCGUGUCGUGAGAUGUUGGGUUAAGUCCCGCAACGAGCGCAACCCUUAUUACCAGUUGCCAUCAUUCAGUUGGGCACUCCGGUGAGACCGCCUCGGAUAACGGGGAGGAAGGCGGGGAUGACGUCAAGUCCUCAUGGCCUUUAUGUCCAGGGCUACACACGUGCUACAAUGGCCGGUACAAACCGUUGCAAACCCGCGAGGGGGAGCUAAUCGGAAAAAGCCGGCCUCAGUUCGGAUUGCAGUCUGCAACUCGACUGCAUGAAGCUGGAAUCGCUAGUAAUCGCGGAUCAGAACGCCGCGGUGAAUACGUUCCCGGGCCUUGUA